rnacentral:rRNA from 1 species
CUAUCUGCCGUGGGCGUUUGAGAAUUGAGAGGAGCUGCUCCUAGUACGAGAGGACCGGAGUGGACGAACCACUGGUGUUCGGGUUGUCAUGCCAAUGGCAUUGCCCGGUAGCUAAGUUCGGAACUGAUAACCGCUGAAAGCAUCUAAGCGGGAAGCAGGCCUCGAGAUGAGUUCUCACUGGAGCUUUAAGCUCCCUGAAGGGCCGUUGGAGACUACAACGUUGAUAGGCAAGGUGUGUAAGUGCUGUGAGGCAUUGAGCUAACUUGUACUAAUUACCCGUGAGGCUUAACCAUA